rnacentral:lncRNA from 1 species
GGUCGAAAUAAUUCUACUCUAACUCAGCAAAGACUGUCGAUCCAAAAUGAUCCUAGUGAGCUCUUACAAUCCAACGUGACACCUAGCAGUAUGUAGCGGCAACUUAGUAGAACUGAAAUAAACCUCUAGGUGUAGUUAACAUAUGAUUCAGUCCCUCUAUCGUGAGUCCCGACUAGAUGGCAGAUCAUGGAUAAAUCGUCAAACCUCAACAUCAGUCACAUGAUAGAUUCGAUUAGCUCAAGUCCAGUUGU